UUUUGCAGAGUUUUGGCACCGCUACAUAGUGGAGGGCCUUAGCAGUACCUUCGACCGUGAUCUGCCUACUGCAUAGCGUAGGGUACUGUUCAGCUAGAGUCAAGGACAAACAACUAUCGGACACUCCAGGAGGCAGCCCGUGACUCUGGUCCAUCUGCGUUCCUCCUUUUGCCUCUAGGAGCAGGCUAGGCGGGGGAGGGGGGGUUCAUCUAAGGCAGAGCAUGGAAAAAACCCAAAUCUGAGCGGGAGGCUGGAGUUUCUGGUACAAGAGGAGGCGCCGGGACGGGCGGGCCGCCGGGGGAAUCCAGCGCCGGGCCGCAGCGGGCACCGCCUCCCCUGUCAUCUCGCGCCGCGGGCCAUUGUACGGAUCUAGCACAGGCCAGAUUAGGUCACGGGGAUGGGCUGUGCCAUGGCACAGGUCGUUAAUCCAGGGAGCGUGGAAAUCCAGAGCCGUCAUCCCGUCUGCGUGGCCCCGUCAUUGCGGGGUUGCUCUUGGAUCUCGAGGGAACGAGGGCGGCGUCGAGGACGGCCGGCGGUGUGGUAGAAUGGAGGAGAGCGACCUGGAGUUCGUGCUAGAUCUGGUGGACAGAUUCCCACUUCGAGAAGAGUUCGCGGAUAACCUUGAGCACCCGGAUUCAAAUGGUGAAUCUGGUUAAUCGGGAGGCACCUCGAUGGACGAAAAGCUUAAGAGGGAGUGCACUGCCAGACAGAACUUCGUGCGCUUCACGGAUGAACGCACUGGACCAAUCCAUACGGAAGUUUGCUGAGGAACCGACAAAGAGUGUGAUUAAACCAGAAUUAGGAAUAAGUUUCGAUUCUUUGGACGAUGCAUACGACUUCUACAGUCUGUAUUCAUGGGAAGUUGGAUUCGGUAUUAGAUAUGGGCAAAGUCGACUGAAUGUAGAAAGAAUCAAGUCGAUGCAGGAGAUAGUGUGUGGUUGCUCGCUAAGUUGUGGGAGCUAUGUGCGGUUGUCUUCACUGCAUAUGAACCUGAGUCUGGUAUGUUUGGAUUGAAUGCAGAUGAGCUUUGUAAGGAAGACGACAAAAUAGACUGGGAUUAAACCAUUCAGGUUCCCCAUGAUGAUCAUGGAUUGUUGUUCCUUGUACAUUCUCGACAUUGAGAAGAAGAUUGUAAUGGUGCUUGAUCCAAUCCAAUAGAGACAGAUUCAUCAGAUGAGAUGAAGAGGAAGCAUGAGGCGCCGGCGAGUAACUUCCGGCGUAGCUUUUGCAGACCUUUUUAAUGACAUGUUUGGAGCUCGCUUCGUCGAGACGGCUGGAGAAGAGAAGCAUAGUUCAAUUACUGAAGAAAGAACAGAGUUUGCAUACAUAACAAGGCGGGACUGGACUGGUGUUCCAGUUUAAUUUGAAAUCCUUAUACAUAGUACUGUAGUAGACUGAGCAUACAAAAGGAUGAUUUGAGAAGACAAUGUUGGUUGCUGCAAGCAAACGAGCAGGAAUGCUAUUCAUGGCAUAUUGUUGAUUUA